rnacentral:rRNA from 1 species
UGGGGAAUAUUGCACAAUUGGCGCAAGCCUGAUGCAGCCAUGCCGCGUGUAUGAAGAAGGCCUUCGGGUUGUAAAGUACUUUCAGCGGGGAGGAAGGGAGUAAAGUUAAUACCUUUGCUCAUUGACGUUACCCGCAGAAGAAGCACCGGCUAACUCCGUGCCAGCAGCCGCGGUAAUACGGAGGGUGCACGCGUUAAUCGGAAUUAAUGGGCGUAAAGCGAACGCAGGCGGUUUGUUAAGUCAGAUGUAAAAUCCCCGGGCUCAACCUGGGAACUGCAUCUGAUACUGGCAAGCUUGAGUCUCGUAGAGGGGGGUAGAAUUCCAGGUGUAGCGAUGAAAGGCGUGGAGAUCUGGAGGAAUACCGGUGGCGAAGGCGGCCCCCUGGACGAAGCCUGCCGCUCAGGUGCGAAAGCGUGGGGAGCAAAAAGG